rnacentral:sRNA from 1 species
GUUCAGGAUAACAGCCAUGCACUUAUUCUGGGCCACAAAUACACACCCAUCUUUAUAUAACCUUUAUUUGGGUUCACAGUUCUACUGCAGUGCCUUGCAAAUAACUGUAGCAAAUGACUGCUGAACCAAAAGGAAAUCUAAUGGCAUGAACUGAAGUGUCAUGAACUGCAGAACCAGAGUGAGAAUUGCCACACGGCCAUUCUGGUGGUUAAGAUAUGUGAAUCCUUGGGGAUAUAAUUAAGGAGCCACUGAGAUGCUUCCUUCAAAGGACAGUUCCUCCUCGGCUGCUGGGCUGCUGUUUGUGCAGGUUAACUGCUUAACAGUCCUUUCAUGUCCACAGUCAAUCGGUGUUUAA